UGUUGUGUCGGUUAAUCAAACAAAAAAUUGAUGGCGGAAGGGGAGAUAUCAGUAGGUCAAGAGCAGAUGCUGCUCCACCAGCAGAAGAACAAAGUGAUGGUUGCUAUAGACGAUAGCGAAAACAGCCUCCACGCUCUGCGCUGGACUCUCCACAAUUUUAUCCUGCGCAACCGUAACGAUCCGUCGCCGUCCGCCAUUGAUUACGGCGUCUUAAUCUUCACUGUACAGCCGCUUCUCGAUUAUACCUUUGUCCAUGCCGCCUCUUUCGGCUCUACGCCACCGGAAUUAAUGAAUUCCCUUCGGGAAAAUCAGAAAAAGAUGGCUGAUGCUCUGCUGGAAAAGGCCACCAAGCUCUGCACUCAAUAUGGGAUUACUCCAGAGACCGCCACAGAAGUGGGCGAUCCCAAAGAGGCAAUAUGUGAAGCAGUGGAGAGGCUUAAUGUCCAUUUGCUUGUCUUGGGAACUCAUAGUCGUGGGGCUCUCCAAAGAGCUUUAGAUGUGAAGAUAAUAUCGUGGACCAUCUUUACGAUCGGCUGAAUCAAAAAGGAAUUCAUAUCCUUAAAGAUGACGAGCGAUUAUAUUGGAGAAAAGGCAACAUAUGACUUUGGCUCUACUACAAGGCUAUUCAAGAAUCAAGAUUUGCAAGUGUUGUCUUCUCCAAAGACUAUGCAUCAUCAACAUAGUGUUUAGGCCAAGUUGUACAACAGGAAAAUCAUGUUCUUAUUUGACAUGUGAAGGCUCAAUAUCAUGAAUUUGUACACCCAUGCCAGCAUCAGUAUCAGCAAGCUACCGAUCGAGCAAUUGAAGACGAGACUUAUAUUCGUUCACGCUAUCCAAAUAUUCGGUUUAGUAUGGCUGCCAACCGGACCCCUGCUUGGGCUAGCCGCAAUUUCACCACUGGUAACCGUGUUAAGAAGUAAGGAUCUGCAAUGGUUAAUUUUUUCCCCCCAUGUUAUAUAUGUUUCUUGAUAUAUAGAUAUAUAUAGUUGAGUGAUAUGAUGGCAUCAAGAAAAUGCAGAUCUGAUCUGUUACCUUCUAACACUGAGUUUUCACUAACUCCUUUGUAUGCCCAAUCACAGGCUGCUUUAAUACCUUCAGAUGCAUAUCUGUGCAGAAUUGAAGACACUUGUAUCAUAUAGUGGAGAUGAGAAAACACCAUAAAAUGAAGUAAUUUUAAAUCUGUUUUCUUCAUAUAAACAUACACAUCUGGGCAGGCUUCUUUGUCAUUGGUGCAGGCCUCCCAUGAUUUCACUUCAUCUGCCCAUCCAGUCUGUUAAGUGGACAAAAUAUUUAAAAAUUUUGAGUAACCAGAAAAACCCGCAGCCACUACUCUAGGGUGAGCACCAGGUAAAUCAGGCCUUGCGACCCUAACCAGCAAAAUACCACAAGGAGGUAAACUAGCCCAAACUGUCCAUAGCUGAUUGGGUCAAAUCAAGAAGACUAAUAGGCCGCGAACUUGUAACAUUGUUGUUACUAAGUGAACAGUCUGACAGAAAAUGAAGGUAAAGCAGAAAUUAUAGUAACAUAUAGUUUUAGUUGUUGCAGAUGGUUUACAGUAAUGUUCUUCUGAAUUGCAUCGAUCAGUUCUUCCACUUCAGAUUCAUAAAAUUGCUCUUCUGCCGUCUCGAUUAUGCUGGUAUCCCAUACCUGUGGGGUUUAAAUUAACAUGAGAAAGCUAAGCUAAGCAGACUGGGAAUCAUAAUGUGAGGUUGCAGUGAAGCUUGGCUUACAUGGUGGAGAACUGUUUUCUUAGUGUACCACUUGACAUCAAUUGUGUUGCCUCCCUUGUCUGAGGCAAAUCCAACAUGCAGAGGCUGCAACAUUCCAAAACAGCAAAAGUAAUAAGCAAAUCCCAAUCUGUUUUUGGCUCAACUUCAAUUCCUCAAACAUAUGAAUUGAAAUUUGGAUUAGUUUACCUGAUGAAUGUCUCCAACAAAAUGAGAGAGGAAGAGCAGUGCUUGUGUCGAAUUAUCUGAUGAUCAUUCCAAAUUGGUUAAACAACGGUAAUUUAUUACUAGAAUGAAAACUAGUUGGUUCUGGGUGGUAAAUUAUGGGCAAAGAUACAGAAUACAGCCCUGACAGCCGAUGUACAUAUCUCUCCACUAUUCUGUGGGGUAUUGAUCCUUUCACCUAAUGAGAGGCUGAAUUGUCCUGAUUUAACACUCCACUAUCCUGUAUAGUGGGUUUCUUGUGGGUGUCUUCCCACCUAAUUGGAGGCUGAAUUACUGUGGUUUAUCCCUCAUCUACUAUCUUAUGUUGUGAGCUCUUUGUGGAGUCCAGAUCAAAGGACUACGUCACCAGGAUUUAUCUUUCUACAAUUGUGUCGGGCUCGGGCAGGGGUCUGGGCCAGGAAUUUGCAAGAAAACUAGUUUUUUAAAGAAUAGCAUCCAUAUAACUCACAUGAUGAAUCAUUGCCACUAACAUAGCUGACAAGCUGGGUGGUGUAAUUGUUGAUAGCCCCUGCAACGCAUCUCCCCACUUCUCCAUCUUCAUCCUUGCAAUCCCCUGCGUCCACAUUGAAAAAACAUCAAACGUAACACAUCAGGCGUGUUGAUGAAGUGGAGCGGAGCCGACCAAGGAAACCGGAAUCUAACGUUGUCCGCCCAAGAACACAUACUCGACAGGUUCCCCUUCGCGUACGCCGGCAGCAGCUUGUCAACUGCAUCUGCCGCCGCCGCACUCAGCCGCAACUGGGCAAUCCGGCACGCGAUCAGAUGCCCGUCUACUCCCCAUCCAUGGGCCACCGGGAACAGAAACAACAAAGCCACCGCGACAACCAUGUAAUUAGCUUUAGACCCUUUCUCCAUUCUUGCCUUCUUUAUUUUAUUUUAUUUUUUGCUGUAAAAAUAUCAAGAUUUGUUAGUGCUUGUCUGUAAGGCUGGGAAAUUUAAAGUACUGGUCAAACCGGUGUUGAUCUUUUUAUUAGGAUAAAAAUAUUAGGUUUCUAUGUUUACAUUUGGUUUCA